UACGUAGGGCGCAAGCGUUGUCCGGAAUUAUUGGGCGUAAAGAGCUCGUAGGCGGUUUGUCGCGUCUGUCGUGAAAGCUUGGGGCUUAACCCCAAGUCUGCGGUGGAUACGGGCAGACUAGAGGCAGGUAGGGGAGAACGGAAUUCCCGGUGUAGCGGUGAAAUGCGCAGAUAUCAGGAGGAACACCGAUGGCGAAGGCAGAUCUCUGGGCCGUAACUGACGCUGAGGAGCGAAAGCGUGGGGAGCGAACAGG
rnacentral:rRNA from 1 species